rnacentral:tRNA from 2 species
GGAGAGGUGGCUGAGCGGCUGAAAGCGACGGUUUGCUAAACCGUUGUAGGGACAAAAUCCCUACCCCGGGUUCGAAUCCCGGCCUCUCCGCCA